UGCUGGCUCACAUCCAGUUUUUCAUCUAGAACCCCCAAGCCCUUCAGUGCUAGGCUGCCCUCAAUUCAUUCAUCUCCCAGUUUGUAUUUGUGCAGCACCUUGCACUUGGCCCAAAAAGUCCUGUGUGACUUCUAGAAAAACUCACAGGAGAUGAUGUGAAUGGAAAACGGUUUCCAUUUUGGAAAAUUUGGGCUUUAAGGCCUUAUAGUAGGUUGUGUAUCAGCGUGUACUAAGGCAGAGACAGUUGAGAAGUCAUUCUGGGGCAGGCAGGCUGCCGGUGAUGCGUGGUGCAAAAAGUCAUCCUGUGUGGUGCAGAGUGAGCUCAGAGCUUCCAUCACAGCGUGGUGAACUCUUCACCCGGGUUGUGCCAUGCUGCAGCGCAUCAGUGCCACUAGUGGGGAGGCCAGCAGGGACCCUGGGAAGCAAAUGGGAGCAGGUCACUGCCGAGGAUGCACAAGGAGCACACACCAAAAUGCUGGUGUUUCAUUUGCAAGACUGAAUUCAAACAUUCAACUAACUUUGAUUGAUAUGUACCUAAUUACAUCCACAUAUGCCAGCAAACAGUUGUUAAAAGCCAAAUGCUUCAUACAUACUUUGAGGGCAGAACUUCUCAGCAAAGCGCUGUUCCCAGCAGUGAUGCUCACCAGCAGCUUCUGUCCCGUCAUCUCCAAUAAGUGCCGCAGCUGAGACAUAAACCAUCCUCCUGCCGACCGCCACACAGAUGCUAAUCCCAACCAGAACAGCAGCAUCCCUGCCUCUGAGGCAUCUGCAAAGCAGAGAGCUGUAUGAUACGGGAAGGACAAGAGUCAUUUCCAGGUUAAGAAGAUGCAACAGACAUGAGGAGACUUGCAGACGGGAUUGCUAAGGAGGCAUCUCUUCAGCAAAGGUGACACCAGAGAUCUCCAGCCUUCACCUCUCACCACCUCAUACCACACUGCUCUCUCAGGGCUAUAUUUAAAUCCACUCACUUCAGUGAUUGCUUUAUGUCAAGAACCACAGAUGCAGCGGAUCCUCCAUUUCCCGCUGGGGAUGGAGGAAAGGGAGCACCAGGCUGGGAGGGCAUCUCUCGGGGCAGCACUGUGGCACACCAUGCCAUGUUGCACCAUGCUGUGCCAUGUCACACCACACUGCACCGCUGUACUUUCAGCCUGCAAGGCCAGCUAGGGAACAGACGAGCUGUGGAGGCAGCAGAGGAACCAUCAAGUGACAAUGCAAAUGGGAAGUGUGGCCACACCAGCUUGAAGCAGCUUGUGCCUGCUGCUUUUAAGCAGUUUUUGAAUAUACACAACUCUGUAAUGAAUGGUUAAGCUCCUGACUCACGGGGAGCAUUUAACUCAUGGACCCAGCUCACUCCUGAGGCAGGCUGACCUGCCAUGUGCCAAACAAGCCUUUCUUGAUGGGCUGCUUCCAUGCGGCCCGAGCCAUGACCGCUCCUUCCCUUUCUCCCCGCUGGCAGCAGGCUGGGCCGUGAGAACCCAUCCAGGAAAUGCCAGGCAGCGUGAGUAAUGCCGCAGUGCCUCUGGGAUGUGUCAGCAGGAGAUGGGUGCCGCACAAAGGGAAGCAGUGCCGCAGCUAUUUCCUGUGACUGCAGGAGAACCCGCCUGCUCCUCUGGGUAAUCGUGAGCUGACGCUGCAGGCAGCCUGGCUUGCGUCAUUCCGGCAGAGCUGGGGACUUCUCAGCAUGGGGAAAUGGCAUCCAGUUCCUGUGGGCAUGCCCAGCUGGCCCAACUUGAAAGAAGCACCAGACACAGCUGAAAAGGGGCUUUUAUGUUGCCUGCCUUUCAGGAUCUUCCUGACACCCAUGAAGCUGAGAACUUUGCUCUUAAAAUGUAAAAGGAGAGUUGAGGGAAAGUCAAAUGUGCCUUUCUGAAUGCUGUCGACUGUUCGGCAUGACUGCCUUUCCCUGUCCUCAGUGAGGAGCUGGAGACCCCUCAGAGCCCAGAUUGUCAGGACAGCCCAUGGAGACUUUAAGAUAUUCAAAAUGACUUGAAAAUUGCAGAAAAAAAAAAACCAAACAAAAAAACCCAAAACAAAACAAACCCAAACCAACCAACAAACAAACACAGAACAAAAAAAGUAAUCAUACUCUAAGGGCCUUCACUGCCCUUCCAAACACAAUGCCUAAAUAAACCUGAUCUUUCAAACAUCUCUUGUCUUCCCUUGAGCAAGAACAGAUCAAGUACAGCAAGUACUGAUCAAUUCAAAUGGUGUUUGGUCAA